UUAUUUUAAAUAACAACACAUAAUACGAUAUAAAACCUUAUAGUACUGCAAAGAAAAUAAAAAUAAAUUAAAGUAGGCUCAAACCCGUACCUUGUGCAUUAUGGAUCUACAAGAUUUAAAAUAAUUUUAACUACCCGAAUUCUUAUGAGCUGUACAUUUAUUGUUUAGAACCCAAAAAUUAAUGUUUCAUUAUUAUUUUUAAAUAAAUUUAUAGAGGCUACAUACCUAACGUAUAAGAAUAUACCUGGUCUCUCUCUAACAUUAUUUAUUAAACCUUAUAAUAUAUAAGUUUAAACUAUAGAAGAUAAUUUCUAUAAUAAACCCAUUUAAAUUAAAAAAUUAUUAAUAAUAGACUUAAUAUCAGUCACUUCAAUAUAACUUCACCGUUACAUAUAAAUUAUAAAUAAAUAAAUAAGGUACAUAUAGACAGAUUUUAAUUCAAACUAUUUAGAUUAAAAAAUUAUGUAAAUAUUAGUAUUAAUUAAUUAUUUAUAAAGGAACUCGGCAACAUUUAUUUCGACUGUUUAACAAAAACAUUUCUUUUAGAAAAAUAAUUAAAAGUAGUCCCUGCCCAAUGAAUUUUAAUGGCCGCGGUACCCUAACCGUGCAAAGGUAGCAUAAUAAAUUGCCUAUUAAUUGUAGGCUAGAAUGAAUGGGUUAACGAAAUAAAAUCUGUCUCCAUAAAUAAAAUAAAAAUUAUCCUUUAAGUGAAGAGACUUAAAUAAUAUAGUGGGACAAGAAGACCCUACAGAGCUUUAUUAUAAAAUUAAAUAAAUUAUUUUUAUAAUUUGGUUGGGGCGACCAAGGAUACAUAAAACAUCCUUUAUUAAUGAGAAUAAAACUUCAAAAUAAGAUCCUAAUAAGAUAAAAUGUAUAGUUACCUUAGGGAUAACAGGCUAAUUUAUUUAAAGAGCCCUUAUCUACAAAUAAGUUUGGCACCUCGAUGUUGGCUUAGGAAAACAUUUUAACGCAAAAGUUAAAUAUGUUAGUUUGUUCAACUAUUAAAUUCCUACAUGAGCUGAGUUCAGACCGACGAGAGUCAGGUUAGAUUCUAUCUACUAUCAAUAAAAUUAUUUAUAGUACGAAAGGACCUAAAUAAACUUAAUCUAAGAAUUACAAUAUAAAAUU
rnacentral:rRNA from 1 species